UUUUUUUUGUUAGCAUCCAUAAAAUGUUGAAUGCACCCUACAUUAAAAUUUAAUUAAAUUACUUAUUUACCCUACUAUGCAAUGACAAUUUUGACCUUAUUAGGUAUUAUUUAUCUUCUCAACUAUCAAAACUCUCAUACUCUCCAUUGUUGAACAAAACCUUAACCAAUGAAACUACAAACAUGUUGAUUGAGAAAAAAUGAUUUUGACGAAUGGAAUACGAAAUUGAUGUUUUGGAAGCUUCACAUAAGGUAAGACUUCAUAUUUUUCGUUCUUUUAGGGAUCACAAGGAAAAAUUAAUAUGUUCAAUUAAGAUUCCAAAUAGCACUUUGUUGCUAACUUUGUUAUUUAAACCUACAAACACACGAAAAUAGCUUAAAGUACUAAAAUAACUAGAAUUAAAUAAGUAAAUGCCAAGAAACAAGCUAACUAAGUUGCAUAAAUAUGCUCUUAUCAAAUUCCCACACACUUAGUUUUUGCUAGUCCUCGAGUAAAACAAAAGAAACAAAAUGAAACAAAACAAACAAAACACAACCUAACCUUCCAACAUUUGCCUCAGGGAUUUCCAAUGCACAUGACAUGUUAAAAAUCAUCAUUCCCACAGAUUUUGGUUAUCUUCACACUUGAGCACAAAAUUGCUAUAAACUUUGGCUUUUUUUUUGUUAGCAUCCAUAAAAUAUUGAAUGCACCAUACAUUAAAAUUUAAUUAAAUCACUUAUUUACCCUAUUAUGCAAUGACAAUUUUGACCUUAUUAGGUAUUAUUUAUCUCCUCAACUAUCAAAACUCUCAUAUUCUCCAUUGUUGAACAAAACCUUAACCAAUGAAACUACAAACAUGUUGAUUGAGAAAAAUGAUUUUGACGAAUGGAAUACGAAAUCGAUGUUUCGGAAGCUUCACAUAAGGUAAAACUUCAUAUUUUUCAUUCUUUUAGGGAUCACAAGGAAAAAUUAAUAUGUUCAAUUAGAUCCGAGUACUAUUUAGAUGCACAGUAAUACAAAGUAGUUCUUGGAGAUAUAUAGAUCCUAUACUCCAAGGAUACUUUAAACGCUUUCUUUAUGUAUAUUCUUAUGAAAGUUAUAAGAUAUAUUCAUAUUUAUAUAUGAAGAAGGAAAAAAGAUGUUACUACAUAAAGAAUUUAAGCUCAGUUAAGGGAUGGAGGACGUGUUCUUGGUCCCGAAUAAUCUGAGUAAAUCCCGGGAUUAGUUUUUCCAUGGUUCUUGUCGCGAUUAAUCUUGCAUGGUACAUGCCAAGAAACUGAAACAAGAGGGUUAGUAGCUGGUACAACACCUGAUUUUUGCAGCUGUUCAUCAGUUUCUUUGCUGCUAGGGUUUUGUUGAUUUUUGGGCUUUGUUUUUCUCUGAUAGAAGAUGUGGGGUGUAUGUACAAAAUAUAAGGUGUAUAUUGAGAAUGUGGGGUGUAGGGUAUUAUAAAAAAGUAUGUGUGGUGCAUUAAAAUAAUUUUUAAGUGAAAAAGCAAAUGUGGGGUGUAUUAAGUAUGUGGGGUUUAUUCACCAAUUUAUGGGGUGUUAAUAUAAUAAACCUUUUAUUUUUUUAUGAAAAAUCGAUAUACAUUGACUGAAUAAGAAAGAUCAAAUUUUGGGCAACGAGAUCUUAAAUAAUAUUAGAAAAUUUUUAUUUGAACUCAUAUAAUCAUUUUUUAUAGGGUAAAUUACAUAGUAGCCCCUCAAGUUUGAGGUCUAUUACAACCUCAUACAACAUCUUUAAAACAUUUCACUUUCAUACCUCAAGUACUAUUUUAUUUCAAAAUAAUACAUCCGUUACAUUU
rnacentral:lncRNA from 1 species